ACUAUAGAUGAUUGAUCAUCCCCACACGAUUUGCAAGGAAGACUUCCUUCCACUAAGGGUUUUAAAACAAACCUUACAGAGAGAUCCAUAGGAGAAACAUAAUUUACAGAAUAAACUACAAGUAUCAAUAUGGCAGUUAUGAGGUUUUUGAUUUCCUUCUCCACAUCUAAAACACAAUUCAUCAAUACCAAUUGCAGUAGGUUCUGCGAGAAUGUCUACACUGCUUAGAGUAACUUUACCUAAUUGUCCAUUUCUACACUUAAUGCACGUUCUUGAAAGAUCUAGUAACAUCUAUAAUCACUACAUAAACAAGACACCUUGACAACGAUAUAACAAGUUCAAUCUACUGAAUGCUUACCUGCAAGUGAUUCCAUGCUGUAUUGGGUGAGGGUGGUUGCCUGGAGUGAGAG